GAUGAACGCUGGCGGCGUGCCUAAUACAUGCAAGUCGAGCGAACAGACGAGGAGCUUACUCCUCUGACGUUAGCGGCGGACGGGUGAGUAACACGUGGAUAACCUACCUAUAAGACUGGGAUAACUUCGGGAAACCGGAGCUAAUACCGGAUAACAUGUUGAACCGCAUGGUUCAACAGUGAAAGACGGUCUUGCUGUCACUUAUAGAUGGAUCCGCGUCGCAUUAGCUAGUUGGUAAGGUAACGGCUUACCAAGGCAACGAUGCGUAGCCGACCUGAGAGGGUGAUCGGCCACACUGGAACUGAGACACGGUCCAGACUCCUACGGGAGGCAGCAGUAGGGAAUCUUCCGCAGUGGGCGAAAGCCUGACGGAGCAACGCCGCGUGAGUGAAGAAGGUCUUCGGAUCGUAAAACUCUGUUAUUAGGGAAGAACAAAUGUGUAAGUAACUAUGCACGUCUUGACGGUACCUAAUCAGAAAGCCACGGCUAACUACGU
rnacentral:rRNA from 1 species